AUUGAACGCUGGCGGCAGGCCUAACACAUGCAAGUCGAACGGUAACAGGAAGCAGCUUGCUGCUUUGCUGACGAGUGGCGGACGGGUGAGUAAUGUCUGGGAAACUGCCUGAUGGAGGGGGAUAACUACUGGAAACGGUAGCUAAUACCGCAUAACGUCGCAAGACCAAAGAGGGGGACCUUCGGGCCUCUUGCCAUCAGAUGUGCCCAGAUGGGAUUAGCUAGUAGGUGGGGUAAAGGCUCACCUAGGCGACGAUCCCUAGCUGGUCUGAGAGGAUGACCCGCCACACUGGAACUGAGACACGGUCCAGACUCCUACGGGAGGCAGCAGUGGGGAAUAUUGCACAAUGGGCGCAAGCCUGAUGCAGCCAUGCCGCGUGUAUGAAGAAGGCCUUCGGGUUGUAAAGUACUUUCAGCGGGGAGGAAGGGAGUAAAGUUAAUACCUUUGCUCAUUGACGUUACCCGCAGAAGAAGCACCGGCUAACUCCGUGCCAGCCGCCGCAGUAA
rnacentral:rRNA from 1 species